rnacentral:rRNA from 1 species
AACGAACGCUGGCGGCAUGCCUAACACAUGCAAGUCGAACGAUUGCCUUCGGGUGAUAGUGGCGCACGGGUGCGUAACGCGUGGGAAUCUGCCCUUAGGUUCGGAAUAACGGCUGGAAACGGCUGCUAAUACCGGAUGAUAUCGCGAGAUCAAAGAUUUAUCGCCUGAGGAUGAGCCCGCGUUGGAUUAGGUAGUUGGUGGGGUAAAGGCCUACCAAGCCGACGAUCCAUAGCUGGUCUGAGAGGAUGAUCAGCCACACUGGGACUGAGACACGGCCCAGACUCCUACGGGAGGCAGCAGUGGGGAAUAUUGGACAAUGGGCGCAAGCCUGAUCCAGCAAUGCCGCGUGAGUGAUGAAGGCCCUAGGGUUGUAAAGCUCUUUUACCCGGGAAGAUAAUGACUGUACCGGGAGAAUAAGCCCCGGCUAACUCCGUG